GAUGAAGAACGUAGCGAAGUGCGAUAAGUAAUGUGAAUUGCAGAAUUCCGUGAAUCAUCGAAUCUUUGAACGCAAAUUGCACUUUCUGGUAUUCCGGAGAGUAUGCCUGUUUGAGGGUCAGUGUAAUAAAAAUAAAUCGUGGUUGCUACCACCUUUCGUGGUGACGCUUCGGAAUUGAGUCGUCUUACCUUUUGGUUAAGUGACUUAAAAUUUUUUCAUACGAUUUCGAAAACGUAUUUAAUGUAUUAUGUACGUUCACGAAUAUCGAAUGUUUAUUAGGUGCGGUCAUUUUUCAUGAAUUCGCGUCUAUAAUUUUUUUUUUUUUUGACCUCAAAUCAGGUAAGAAUACCCGCUGAACUUAAGCAUAUCAAUAAGCGGAGGA
rnacentral:misc_RNA from 1 species